rnacentral:pre_miRNA from 1 species
CUUGGACCUAGAUUCAGACUGUUAUUUUAUAAAAAACAGUCUUAAUCCAGAUCCAAACC